UAAAAGAUCAAACAUUAAAAAUUUCCUUAACAGGGCUGCCUUCAGGUGUCUUCUAAAUCUGAAGGCAGCCCUGUUUAGGGAAAUUUUUAAUGUUUGAUCUUUUA